rnacentral:rRNA from 1 species
GACGAACCGUGCGAACGUUAUUCGGAAUCAUUGGGCUUAAAGCGCGUGUAGGCGGAUUCGUGCGUCUGUCGCUGAAAUCCCCCGGCUCAACCGGGGAACGGGCGCGGAUACGACGAGUCUGGAGGGGCAUAGGGGGGACCUGGAACUUCCGGUGGAGCGGUGAAAUGCGUUGAGAUCGGAAGGAACGCCCGUGGCGAAAGCGGCUCCCUGGUCCAGCACCGACGUUCAGGCACGAAAGCGUGGGGAGCAAACAGG